UACAGAGGUCUCAAGCGUUGUUCGGAUUCAUUGGGCGUAAAGGGUGUGUAGGUGGCGCCGUAAGUCGGGUGUGAAAUUUCGGAGCUUAACUCCGAAACUGCAUUCGAUACUGCGGUGCUUGAGGACUGGAGAGGAGACUGGAAUUCAUGGUGUAGCAGUGAAAUGCGUAGAGAUCAUGAGGAAGACCAGUGGCGAAGGCGGGUCUCUGGACAGUUCCUGACACUGAGACACGAAGGUCCA
rnacentral:rRNA from 1 species